CCGUGUUCUUGCAUUUCUUAUUACAUUGGUAAAAAUUUGAACUUAUGUAAAAAAUUCGCCUAUUCAAAUUUCAAACAGAUAAAUUAUAGAUUUUCUUUAGCUACAUCAAAGAUCUUCACGACUUACUACUUUCAGUAUGGUAAUUAUGGCACAUUUUUACCGUUAAAAAAAUACGUAUACAUAAGAAGAUGAAUGUACGCUUAGUUAGGCGUGGACACAGCAAUUCAUCAACCACAUUUUGCACAGUUCCACCGUGACGUCGAUUAUUGCAACUUUUACAUCAUUUAAGUGUAACAAAGCAGAAAAUCAUUUUAUGAAACAGGUUUUGUGGAUUGUCCUCAUCAAAACAAAACACUUUCAUUUAAAUGUCAUGCUUUUUCCUAGAUUGUGAUUGUGGAUAGAUUAGUGAUGAGCGUUUUUUCGAGGAAGUUAGCAGAGCAAAACGGUUUACUGCAGCUAAUUUAAUUAUAAAAUGCAAAAAACAUGGUUUUCUAAUUUUGUCACUUGCAACAUCAUUAGACUAAACUCGGUAAUUUUUUAGACAAUGACAAAAAUUUAGUAGAAACUGUUAUGCUGAUUUAAUUUAUAGGUUUAGUGAUUUCUCUAGAUACAUAAAUAAGAAUUAUAAUUUCAAGAUUAAGCAGAUGUUGCUAACCUGUUACAGUUUCUUUUUUAAUAGGCUGUUAAAAAUGUUCCAAAAUGCUACACUGCGCUCUCACCAAAUUUAGUAUAUAGUCCGGGACAUUUCAAUAUGAGAUACGUCAUACCGCACACCUUGACGCGAGACUAUAUAGAGCACAAAAACUAGAUAAGAGCUCAAAUUUAGGGAACUUGUGUUUGAUAGAUGACAAAUGUAAACAAUAAUAAAAAUUUAAAUAUUUCUUUAUUGUAGUAAAGUACAGCAAAAUGUACCAACUAGAACACUUAAAAACAAAUGGAGAAACUUUCAAAUGCUUUGAAGUACCGUUGCUGGAGUACUGUUGAGGUUAUGUUUGACCUUGGUAUGACUGUCAGGUUUAAAGUUGAAAUUUGCAUUAAAAAGGCCAUAAAAGCCUCGAAGUGCCUUUUAGGGUAGUCAUCGUCAUGUUCCAAUUGCAUGCCCCCUCUCUGCCACAUCAGUAAAAUUUGCCACAAAAGUUUUAAAAAACAACUUUAAACAACAAAAAAGGCCCUAUUUUCAUUAACAAUGAGACAUAUCUCGCUGCAUGCGGCACGACAUAGGCCUCAUAGACCAAUCUCAUUGUGAAUGGUUUUCGCUGAGAUCACUUUGAGAGGGUUUCACUGAGACUGACGUUGGCGGAAGGCUGAAACCUGCCUCGCGACAAGUCUUUGCACCAACAUUCGAAAACGCUGUCAAUGGCUUAAAAUUAUGAAACUGUGUCAGUUUUUUUGUGUCUUUUGGGAUUAGUCUUUGAGUCCUGUUGCGCCGCAUGUAGCGAAGCAGAUCUCAUUGUGAAUGGGUUCUUUAAGAAACAGUUUCAAUGUACACCACAAGACAUACACUGAGACGGCCUCAUGCCUCAUAUCAUGGCUUGUAAUUGACAGCAUUUUAUAAAAUAAUUUGGAAUCAUAAUGCAGAGAUUGUUGCGAGACAGGCAGGCAGGUCUCAAGCCUACUGCAGAAGUCGCUCUCAGUGAGUCCAUGUCUUAGAGAUGCAAGACCAAUUUAGACCAUUUACAGUGAGAUUGGUGCCCGAGACCUAUGUCAUGCAGGAAGCCAAACUUCAUCGUGAAUGGACCCUUUUCAAUGGGGGUGUGCUUUUUGAAUAAAUUUGAAAUGGCCUUUUUGAAAAAAGCAGUUGUCUCUCUUUUAUUCAUCUAUUCAACACGCAAAGGCAAAGUGGAAUUGGAGGCAACCCAGAAAUAAAAACACUCUAAUUUCCUUUAUUAGUAGGCUAUAUUUUUUAUAAAAGACGACUACUCUCAGAUAGAGACGUACAAAAAUGUAAACAAGAGUAAAAGUUGGUUUUUCGCAAUAUUUCACACUAUUCUUCCACACGUCCACAGUAAAAUCAGAAAGCGCUUGUUGUUAUAAAGCCCUUAUUAUGUUUUUCAACGAUGGAUGAGACUUUGUGACGUAUUUGUUAAACGUAAGUUUUCAAAUACCCCAUGCCAGUGCAACGGAGUUAUAUUAACAAUUUUAUGGGAUUAUUUUUUUUACACCCAUUCUGCUUGAAACAAUAGUCGCUACCAGGAAAUAACAACGAAAAAAGUGGACCCAAAAGGCUUCAGCUGCAAAUUAUAAACACUAUCUGUGAUUUUUUUAAUAAUUAAUUAAUAAAUGUCGUGAACUUACUUUGAAGUAAACAGUGAGCUCCA